AGUUUAUUCCUGGAGUUCAAACCGGCAACAUCUCCGGAACUAAGCUCUAAAUUCUCAGUUUGGUUUUAUAAAGUAUUUUUCGGCUAGUUUUAAGCAUAAAGUGAAUAAAUUUUGUAUCCUAAACACCACAAAUUACAUUACACGUGUUGAUUGGUCACAAGUGUAGUACUAAAGAAGUGAAGACACGAAUUCGGAUAUGAUGGCUCUCACUGCGCACACUGUGUUCCUGACCUCCAUCGGAAUCGUCACACCAUUUGGAUAAGCAAUUUGGGAGCCCCUGGAAAACUCCUGUAACCCCUGAGAGAAGGCGGUGGAACGUAUGACACGGCAACGUCUACUUUUGUAGCCUAGAGAUGAAACGAAAUACUCCACAAUAUAAGUGCUGCUAACCUAAGGGUCUCUCCUGGAAUCUGGUAAAUUCUGCAAACCCUGGAAAAGGCAGAGGAAAACGGUACAAUAUAGAUGAUCCUCCUUUACACAAAUUGAUCACAUAAACAGACGUCUGGAUUAUAAUAUAAUAUUUUCAUUAUAAUAAUAAACAAACAAUUUUACACUUCAAGGAAA